rnacentral:rRNA from 1 species
UACGUAGGGUGCAAGCGUUGUCCGGAAUUAUUGGGCGUAAAGAGCUCGUAGGCGGUUUGUCGCGUCUGCUGUGAAAACUCGGGGCUUAACCCCGGGCCUGCAGUGGGUACGGGCAGACUAGAGUGCGGUAGGGGAGACUGGAAUUCCUGGUGUAGCGGUGAAAUGCGUAGAUAUCUGGAGGAAUACCGGUGGCGAAGGCGGCAUCCUGGACCGGCAUUGACGCUGAGGAGCGAAAGCUAGGGGAGCAAACGGG